CUCGCGUCACUGUAUUUUCGGAAAAUAGUUGUCUUCUGCUGCGGAGAAGUCCCUCAGUUGUUGCUUGUUUGUCGGACACACGGCAGUAUGUCAAUGUAUGGAGGUUGUUCCUCAGUUCAAGAUAACAUGGGGUUACAGCAACGCCAGUAUGCAUUACUAAUGGAAAUCCAGCGACUUUGCCGAGAACUGCCCAUGACCUAUCAGCAGCGUGUGCCUUACAGCAUGCUGUCUAGUCUUUCUGCAUCCUUGCUGGACGGCACUGUGUUUGAGAUUGUCAACCACCUUGCCGAGAUUCAACACAUGACGGAGCGCAAGUUGAUGGAACAACGCUCCCAACUUGUCAACUCACAUAAAGCAUUGAAACAGGAAAUGACUAAGAAACAUCGCGAGGCCUUGCAGAGCUGUCAAAGUAAACCCCACAAUCUCAAACUGGUCACUAACACCAACCAGAAAGAGAAACAGGCUUUAGAGACACGCCUGGAGGAUGAGAUUAGGAAAUUUGAUGAGCGGAUUGUGCUGGAACUGGACCACCGGGUUGCUGAGCAACAGAUGACCUUAGAGAAGGCAGGCGUGGCUGGUUUCUUCACCACCAGCAAACCAGAGGAGGUCCGUCUACAGAUGUACCUUCUGGAGAUCAUCCGCAAACUCAGCAAGAUGAAUUUCAAUGCAGCACCAUUCAGUUUUACGUGUACGUGAGAAACAUAUGGUUGGCUGUUGCAACAGUAGGCCACUAGAGAAGCUCACUGAACAUGUACAUCUCUCGCUGAGAUCUCUGUGAGACGUGAUAAGUUGGCUUCAAGUUAAUCUUUGGAGUGAUGGUAGAGACUUUGUGUUUGCCAAGCAAAAGGAUUACUGGAUGCUCAAAUUAAGUUUUGGCCUUGUGCUAACUUUAGGAGUGGACUCCAAGUUUCCUCAUGAAACAGAACUUGAUAAACCGUGACUUUGUAUGCGAGAGAAGAUCUGACAGGAAGGUAAUUGUUGAACUGCAACAGGGAGACAUAGGACUGAGGAAAAGGAAUUGUGAGCAGCAAGCCAACCCAAGGAUUCCUGGAUUAAGAUGUCUCUCGAUUGCCAAUCACUCAAAGAAUAUCAGUGUGAACCAAGAGCAAGAACAACUUCUGAUAACCCAGCACAAGGUUACCUGGUGUUCCUCUUCCUGACCCAAGUCCCACCAGGUUUGCCCCACUUGGGGCGUCCGGCUUACCAGAAACCACAAAUUGAAAAUUUCGGGAGGUUUCCUUGGAGGCUACUGGUGCGGUUUGUGGCAUUGCAUUAACUUGUUGGAAGGCUCCAAGAUACAUGUGAGUUUGAAAUGACUCAUUCGAAACCUACCGUAUGACGAAUACCACUCGACAAGAAGAUUUCAACAAUUUUGAAGCCAUGGAGUUGUUAAGCCUAAUAACUGGAUACUUGCUAGGUAAAUGAGAUUAAUGCAUUUGUACUCUUUUCAAAAUAGAUUUCUGCUGCUGUGAGUUCACCUUUAACUUUAAGAGACAUUUGGGGGGGAUUGAGCUCAUGUGGACAUGUAGAGAGCUGUUUGCCUUGGUUGUGUACUGACAGAUUCAAGCAAAGUUGAAGCAUAGUUUGAGUGCCCCUUUAAAAUUGCUUUAAAUAAACCAGUCUGAAACUAGGGCUUGAUGGU
rnacentral:misc_RNA from 1 species